UUCUGUCCAAAAUGUGAGGUUAAAAAAAAAAAAAAAAAAAAACCACAGUCAUUUUCUUUUAACUACAAAAUAAUUUUUCACUGUUAUUUUUAAAAUCUAACUACUGCAGCUUUGACUGGCUGGUAGAAAUGAGGCCCAUGAUUUGUGCAGGAUGAUUAUUUAUUUAUUUUAAAAACAAAAUCAAGGCUGUCUGUGAUUUGGAUCUAAUUUCACAUUUAUUUUUCAUAGUUUGUUUUCUUAGUAGCGCUGCAGUAAAGCCAUGAUUAGUUAAAUCAGUUAUACAUAAAUUCAAAGACUUGUUCUUCAUUUUAGAUGUUCAGACUUAAUUGGAUUUAAAUCAGAUUAAAAAGUGACUUCUGAGGGAAAAAUACCCCCAAGCAUGCAAAAAGGGUUGCUUUUUUUUUAACUUAUCACAUAAAUGGCAAUAGAGAUUUCUAUCUUUAUAACAUUUACUCCCUCUUACAGCUUACAAUUCUAUUUAACUUUUAAAGAGAAUAUAUAUUAAAAUGUUAGCAGGGCAGAGUAGGAGGAAGCCGCUGACAUUUCUUUCUCAGAAUAACCUGUUCUCUACUGCAGAGUAUUUUCUUUAGAUUGUAAUGAAUUUUAAAACCUAAACAUUAUGAAAGGAGGUCAUUCUAUGCUUUUAUUUAAUAUAUUAAUUGCUGUGAAAAUGACAGAAUGCAAGCUGUACUAAAAGGAUGGCAAAGACUUGGUGUUUCUCCCAGGAGAUGUCCAGGUAGAUCUCGAUAGCUUCUCCCUUGGGGUUUAAGGUACCAGGGGUUUAAUUCCAGGCUUGGGCCGUGUAUGGAAAUAGGAAUUACUGAAUCAUGAGGAGCAGGGCUGGGAGAGAUUGGAUGGAGAUGGAGAUGGUGCAUUUUUAGUGCUGUGGGAGUAGUUUGGGAUAACCAAGUAGAAGAAUUAACAUCUAUGAGUCCAGCAGAAAAAUAUCCUUGCAAAGGAGCAGAGCACAGCUCAGUUCCGACUCUCAAGCACAAUUUGUGCUGUAGGGCAGCAGCAUUUUGCUGCCUGGCCUUUUUCCUAAAUUGGAGCAUUUUUUGAUAAGCAUUUGGACAAAUGAGGCUUCUUGCAGGAUCAGCUGUCUGCAGCUCUGCAGCCUCCUCGUGAUGCAGAAGAUUGAGGAGUUUAUGCAAAAUCAGGUGCUUAACCAUAUGCAAGGCAGGACGAAGGUACAGCUUUUGGAGGACAGAGAAGACAUUUAUAUUCAGGUAAUUCCCCAUCUGGACUGAUCCAAGGCUGGGCAAUUCAAGCCAUCUCCCCCAAAAGCUGUGUUUUUUAGGGAGUUGACAGAGGCUACUACUGUAGGGAUGUGAAGAGGCAGAAGGAAUAACAACUGCUGGCUCCAAAUGCCUCUGCUCAUCUUUCCCAUCAAUUAUUUAGACAAGAAAGAUUUACAUGAAAAUUAAUAAUUGAAUUUUGAAUUGCUGCUUUACAUCAAUAAUGAAAUAGUUGUGCCGAAUAUAAACAGAUAAAGAGAACAGCAUAAGAAACCAUCGUUAAUACACAAAAGGAAAAGUAAUAUUUUAAUUAAACCAUAAGGCUCAUUACUGCUUUAUGGCAGAGGGUUACUGUCAGUGACCUAGAACAGACAGCUUUAUGUGCCAAAAGUGAAACCUCCUGUUUAAUCUGUCAUAAGUGAUGUUGGCAUAUUAAAAUUGUGUGAGCUGGAUUUUGCUAGAUUCCAGAACCAAGUCAUUUGUGUUACCAAAAUAGCUUCAUAGAUAAAAAUUUUAUUUUGUUUCUUUUAUAAAUUAAUUUUUUACAGAUUUUAAUACAGGUUGUCUUUCAGCUGUGAGCAUCCAGAAAUAUCAUGGUAGACACAAAAUUUCAAUAUUUUAACUAUUUCUAUUGUUUAAACCAAUUUUGUCAGGUAUAUUUCUGGGGAAAAGAGACUGAGUCUGAGACUUUUAGCCUACCAAAACCUAUUUAGUUGUUAAUAUUCAAAUUUUUGCCAAUUGCCACAAUUCUAUCGUUAACCUAAAAAUGCUGGGGGAAAGGGCUUGGUAUGCUUCUUGAAACACUGUAACCUCAAACUUUAGCUCCUUUCUCACCUACCCUCAAGGUAAAUUUGUAAGGCUUCUGUCCAAAAACAGGAAUGUGGAAAGCAUGGAGAAUAAACAAUCCGUACACAUCAAAAUCUGCAAAAUCAGCUCCUAAAGUGUACUGUGGCCUACAUCUGUGAAUGUAAAGUAAGGAAAUGAUACUUAAAAGUGGAUCUGUGAUCGUGCACACUGGUCCUUUGGAUGCAUCAGCAGAAUGUGCUGGCCUAAAGUAGAAGAGGAAGUGGAGGAGCUUGGUUUCCAAGGAAAGAAGCUGAAGAACAGUGCAGAAAGAAGGAAAGAAUGAAAUAGAGGGCAAGUGGAAGGUAGAAUCAGUUUAUUGGAAGAGCAUUAAACCUUGUUUCUGUGAGUGGCUGUGUUCUCACUGGCAUGUCAAAUUUCAUUCCUUUUAAAGUCCAAGCUGAACUCAGCACAUUAUGGACGAUUAAAAAAGGAAUUUUAAUUUUUGUUCCCUGGUUUCUGGGUUUUCUCCUGAAAAAUGUUUUUGAUCUGAUCAAACAAUUUUGUCCCUCCAGACAGACCUUUAUUCUCAUUGCUGCAUCCAUUGCUGUCUUGAGGCAGCAAAGAGGGCUCCUGUUUGCUCUGCAUCUCUGCACAGUUUCUGUGAAUCUGAAAUUGAAUCAUCUCCAAUGUAUCUGCUAAACCCUGUCUGAAAACAAGAAGGUCUGACCACAGCAAGGCAAGCCUGCUGGACUUAUUCAGAACAUGGGGUCAACGAAAUGCAGAAGGCCAAGAUGACCCAGCUUCAGUCCAGGAGGGCCAUUCACUUGUGAAAGGAAGAAGCACUGCAACCUGCUGUCAGCCUGGAAUGUUGGUGUAAAAUCCAUAAAAUCCAUGCAGUUAUGCUGCCUUCACAGUGAAGCCUCCAGCCAGAUGGAAUUUGCAUGUGUGAGGAGUUUGUGCUGGGUGGAAAUAUCUGAAAUACUGCAGUUACCUGUUGGUUGAAGAACAAGCAUCCAUGGAUGAAUUGUCCCACUGACUGACCAAUACCACACAAUAAAAAAGUCCCUUUCCUGCUGGGGUUUAGCAGUGCUCUUGUUUCCAUGUCUGCACAGACACCAUGCAUGCUGCAAAUUAAAUGAUAAAAUUAAAAAUACAAUGUUCCCUACUGGUUUGUGUUUAUGCAACAGAGAGAGCCAAGGAGAAGAUGUGACCCAUACACUCUGGUUAUAGAACUGUCAUCUUAUGGAAAUUUACUAUUUUGGUAAUCCUAGGUACUCCUCUGGGACUCUGGCCUUUGUCUGUGUUGAUAUUUCCACCUGGAGGAGCUGAGGCCUAGAACAAGUUGCUCAAAUAAAAUGCCAUAACACUGCCAAGCCAAAGGAAAUACCAGUGGUGGAAGAUAGAUGGAUAAGCAAAUUCAGUGGGUUACUUGCAGGGAACUUGGAGCUACUCAGACAUGUGAAGGGAAGAAUAUUCACUGAAGAAGCAGAGUGGAACUCUCCUCCAUUUAAAGGUAUUCGUCGACUGAAGUGGGAAUAUUCAAAGCAUAUUUUUCACCUAUUAAGCAAGUACCAGCUGCUGGAACAGAAAGAGAAUGGAUCCAGCAGGCUCCUUCCUUUGCUCUGAGAGCUCUGAGAGCAUCUCAAAGGCUGCCCUAGGCUCUAAUGUCUGGUAAAAGAUCCCAGAGGAUGAGAAUUGGUGAUGACAACUCCAGCAACACAAACUCCCAUCUCUCUCCUGCCUGGAUAUGACUUCAGAGGAAUUUUCUUAAGGAUGUGGGAUGCCCUUCACAUAUAACAUGAAUGUUUUAAUAUAUGGAAAAUUCAGUCAAACCGUGGUAUCUCCAAUACAAAAAUAGCUGGUUCUCCUUCUCUACCAUUCCUGCAACAAUAAAGCCACUAUUGAACCUUUUGUGUUUAUUCAAAGAGCAGCAAAACUUACUGGGAACCAGGAAUUACUUAAUAAUAAUGAGUGUGACUAAGUAAAAGGCCUAAAAGACAGCUCAGACAUCUAAAAAUACAAUUAAAGAGACAUGAUUAGAAACAACUGAAUGAUAUUAAAGAGCAGUGAAGGAUUGGUUUUGGAGCAGAAAAGCUUUCUGACAAAAAUACCAGUCUAAGUUUACAAGAGCUGUUUACUACACAAAAUGCUGGAAGCAUUGAUGGACUAGUCAAAUUUAUGGAAUCACCAGAAAUUCAGUGCAAGCCAGAAAAAUUGUUUGGUGAAAGUCCUCUAAGUGCAUGCCAUUUCUAACUCCUGUUAGUGCUGGGUGCUGUGGGACUUCGAGUUCUGAGCAAGAUAAAAUUAGAAAGCAACACAAGCCUCAGAAGUUGUUCCUCUUUCAGCUAUUUCUGAGGGCACCUUUAAUUGGCAAUAUUCAAAUACAAACUCCUCCAGAUAUGAGUAAGGACACAGUCUUCAACUCUCUCCUAAAUUAUUCCAGGUUUCUCAGUGAAAGAUAAUUUUAGUGUAAGCUAGUUAUCUCCAUUUAGAAUAUUAGGAGAGCAACUUGGGUAGAUUCUGAGCUAAACUUUCUUGAGACUGGUUUGCAAUGAAAGAGAGAGAAAAGUAGCACAGUAAAGUAAUCAGCAACAGAAUGACUUUUGGAAAGCUUUGAUAUGUUCACAAGGCUCUGAACACUGAAAAAUAUGUAUAAAUUAUAUUUAUGUCUUAAUAAACACCUCAGAAGGGAAUGAAGAACCACUUCUUGGGUUGAUGGUCUGGCUGCAGUAAUGCAUUGCAGCCCUGAGCAGAGAGCUGCUGUUUGUAUCCCUCUCACAUUUAAAACAGCACAAUGUUCUGACUAAACAUAAUUUGUCAAGGAUGUCUGAUUCUAUCUCCAGUUUCUACACGUGAUGAAAAUUCAUUGACAGCAGGUGAGGUUCUUGCACACUCAAGGCAGGCUGUGAGAUUCCUGACAGAGGAACAGGAGCUGGCAGUGCUGCUGGGGCCACCAGGAGAGCUGAGGGCCACACUUCUGCAGUGUCACCCAUUUUUCACCACAACAGUGUCACAGAGACCAAAAUGCAGUUCACCUCCCGUAACCUGUUUUCCCUUUUGCCAUGGGAUAACGCAUCUUCUGAAUGCCAUUUGUUCUAAAAAAGGAUCUCAAACAAACUGAAAACAAUCACCUGUGGAAACUUAAUGCUGUAUAGUAUUUAUAUUAUAAUAUUUGUGGAAUUGGUGAUAUAUCCUUCAAAAGGUAAAACACCCCAAGUAUUAUAUAAAAAAACAUACAGUUCUUGUUCUAGGUUUUGGCAGCAUUUUUAGGAAAUCUCUGAAUAUCUAAAGAAUAAUAAUAAAAGAGUAAUGUUUUAAACAUUUGAAUCUAAAGAAUAAUAAUAAUAAAAGAGUAAUGUUUAGAACAUUUAUUUAAUAUAAACUUCCAAUUGUAUGACCCCACAGCAGUUCAGAAAGUAUCCUUCUCAGUGUAAUGAGGUACAAUGUUCUGAUAUCAAGGUCAGUUCUUUGAUUCAGUGCUGUCAAGUGCCUCCAAAUAUUGCUAAUUAGGCACAAAUCAGCAUUUGUUUUGAAUCCUUUUUAUAGUGGGUAGAUCUGGUUGCCAGCAAAAUGAGGUCAAAGUCAACAGAGGGGCAAUGAUGUCUGUAUUUCCGGCCUCCACUCAUUUAAAAGCUCAUCUCAUUUCCACUUCAUCAUGUUUAAAAUAGAAAUGAAUUUCACAAAGUAGAUUGAAAUCCAUGAGCAAUUAAAAAAAAUAAAAUUGUGAGUCAAACGCUGUUA